ACCUAAAGCCGCAACAAUACCGCGCAUGCGCAAAAUAUGCUAUCGGGCCGGGUUUGGCUGACGCCUGGAGCUGAGCGGCUGCAAGCAGCAGUGGCGUUUUCGCUCUUCUCUCCGUUCACCGACACCUUGGACACCUUGUUGCGUGAGUGCACAUGUACACUGAGAUCUUCAACAAAGUCAUCUCUCCUGUCCUGGCGAGUGGAUUUUUAUACAUUUAACACAUCGCUGAAUACACUGUACCUAAGCACAGAGAUUUUAUUGAGCUUUAAAGAAGGAUUUGGACGAACAGCUCAACCAUGUCAAAGCUCCCUGGCAUGAAGUGCAGGUCAGCCUGGGCCACAUGCCCAGUGUUCGUGUCUAUCACAUUGUUGGUGGUCUCACCAGAAUAAAACCUGUGUCAUGGUG